rnacentral:misc_RNA from 1 species
GAAAAAAAGUGCUGGAGUACAAAUCCAACAUAUGCAAAGUGUGUAAAGUUGGUAAAUGGCCAACCUUUUAAAGCCAAAAAAAGGUGAUGACGCUGGGUUUUGAAGCUAAACACAAUGAUGCCAAAGUGGAAACUACUCCAUGUUUUCCUCUUGCACUACUUAGGGGGUGCUUGGUACAAGGUUAACAAGCGGUAAUUAUUAUCUAUGUAACUUUUAAUCCUUUGUUAUUUUUGUUUGUAUAUUUAAAGAGGUUAUGUUAAUUUUUCAUCUUAUUAAUAUUUAUACUUUUUUGAAGGGUUAAAUGUUAACCUUGAGGGACUAGGUUAAUAAUUACCAUCU